rnacentral:rRNA from 1 species
GAUGGACGCUGGCGGCGUGCCUAAUACAUGCAAGUCGAGCGAACAGACGAGGAGCUUGCUCCUCUGACGUUAGCGGCGGACGGGUGAGUAACACGUGGAUAACCUACCUAUAAGACUGGGAUAACUUCGGGAAACCGGAGCUAAUACCGGAUAAUAUAUUGAACCGCAUGGUUCAAUAGUGAAAGACGGUUUUGCUGUCACUUAUAGAUGGAUCCGCGCCGCAUUAGCUAGUUGGUAAGGUAACGGCUUACCAAGGCAACGAUGCGUAGCCGACCUGAGAGGGUGAUCGGCCACACUGGAACUGAGACACGGUCCAGACUCCUACGGGAGGCAGCAGUAGGGAAUCUUCCGCAAUGGGCGAAGGCUUGACGGAGCAACGCCGCGUGAGUGAUGAAGGUCUUCGGAUCGUAAAACUCUGUUAUUAGGGAAGAACAAAUGUGUAAGUAACUAUGCACGUCUUGACGGUACCUAAUCAGAAAGCCACGGCUAACUACGUG